GUACACGCUUCGGCAGCACAUAUGCUAAAAUUGGAACGAUACGGAGAAGAUUAGCAUGGCCCCUGUACAAGGAUGACAUGCAAAUUUGUGAAGCGUUCCAUAUUUUU
rnacentral:snRNA from 1 species